rnacentral:rRNA from 12 species
GUGCUACAAUGGUCGGUACAAAGGGUUGCCAAGCCGCGAGGUGGAGCUAAUCCCAUAAAACCGAUCGUAGUCCGGAUCGCAGUCUGCAACUCGACUGCGUGAAGUCGGAAUCGCUAGUAAUCGUGAAUCAGAAUGUCACGGUGAAUACGUUCCCGGGCCUUGUACACACCGCCCGUCACACCAUGGGAGUGGAUUGCACCAGAAGUGGUUAGUCUAACCUUCGGGAGGACGAUCACCACGGUGUGGUUCAUGACUGGGGUGAAGUCGUAACAAGGUAGCCGUAGGGGAACCUGCGGCUGGAUCACCUCCUU